rnacentral:snRNA from 1 species
GUGCCUUUGGGGACAUCCGAUAAAAUCGGAAUGAUAGAGAGAAGAUUAGCAUGGCCCCUGCGCAAGGAUGACAUGCACAAAUCGAGAAAUGGUCCAAUUUUUU